rnacentral:rRNA from 1 species
GACGAACGCUGGCGGCGUGCCUAAUACAUGCAAGUAGAACGCUGAAGGAGGAGCUUGCUUCUCUGGAUGAGUUGCGAACGGGUGAGUAACGCGUAGGUAACCUGCCUGGUAGCGGGGGAUAACUAUUGGAAACGAUAGCUAAUACCGCAUAAGAGUAGAUGUCGCAUGACAUUUGCUUAAAAGGUGCAAUUGCAUCACUACCAGAUGGACCUGCGUUGUAUUAGCUAGUUGGUGAGGUAACGGCUCACCAAGGCAACGAUACAUAGCCGACCUGAGAGGGUGCUCGGCCACACUGGGACUGAGACACGGCCCAGACUCCUACGGGAGGCAGCAGUAGGGAAUCUUCGGCAAUGGACGGAAGUCUGACCGAGCAACGCCGCGUGAGUGAAGAAGGUUUUCGGAUCGUAAAGCUCUGUUGUAAGUGAAGAACGAGUGUGAGAGUGGAAAGUUCACACUGUGACGGUAUCUUACCAGAAAGGGACGGCUAACUACGUG